rnacentral:rRNA from 1 species
UACAGAGGGUGCAAGCGUUAAUCGGAAUUACUGGGCGUAAAGGGCGCGUAGGUGGUUGCGUAAGUGAGAUGUGAAAGCCCCGGGCUUAACCUGGGAAUUGCAUCUUAUACUGUGGAGCUAGAGUACGGAAGAGGCGAGUGGAAUUCCUGGUGUAGCGGUGGAAUGCGCAGAUAUCAGGAGGAACACCAAUAGCGAAGGCAGCUCGCUGGGACGUUACUGACACUGAGGCGCGAAAGCGUGGGGAGCGAACAGG